rnacentral:rRNA from 1 species
UACAGAGGGGGCAAGCGUUAUUCGGAAUUAUUGGGCGUAAAGGGCGCGUAGGCGGCUGAACAAGUCAAAGGUGAAAUCCCUCGGCUCAACUGAGGAACUGCCUUUGAAACUGUUCGGCUUGAGGCCGGGAGGGGGUAGCGGAAUUCCCAGUGUAGCGGUGAAAUGCGUAGAUAUUGGGAGGAACACCAGUGGCGAAGGCGGCUACCUGGACCGGUUCUGACGCUGAGGCGCGAAAGCGUGGGUAGCAAACAGG